rnacentral:rRNA from 1 species
GACGAACGCUGGCGGCGUGCUUAACACAUGCAAGUCGAACGGUAAGGCCCUUCGGGGUACACGAGUGGCGAACGGGUGAGUAACACGUGGGUGAUCUGCCCUGCACUUCGGGAUAAGCCUGGGAAACUGGGUCUAAUACCGGAUAGGACUCCGGACUGCAUGGUCUGGGGUGGAAAGCUUUUGCGGUGUGGGAUGGGCCCGCGGCCUAUCAGCUUGUUGGUGGGGUGAUGGCCUACCAAGGCGACGACGGGUAGCCGGCCUGAGAGGGUGACCGGCCACACUGGGACUGAGAGACGGCCCAGACUCCUACGGGAGGCAGCAGUGGGGAAUAUUGCACAAGGUGCGCAAGCCUGAUGCAGCGACGCCGCGUGAGGGAUGACGGCCUUCGGGUUGUAAACCUCUUUCAGCAUCGACGAAGCGAAAGUGACGGUAGGUGCAGAAGAAGGACCGGCCAACUACGUGCCAGCAGCCGCCGUAA